AGGGAGUGAGGACUGUGGGGAGGGGGGCUCGUUGAUACGGGUCAGUCUUGGCUGUGUGUUGGCUGCGAGGGAAGGACAGGCAGGAGUGUGGACCGGACACCAUGGGUUGUCCACCAGGGCUGAGGCUGGACUGAGACUGCUGCAGCCCCGCUGGUUGGCUGGGGUGGGACAGAGGCAAGGGGCCAGUGAGGGCAGCCUCAGGAAGCUGCUGCCCCUGAACUCCCCGGGAGGUUCCCCAAACCCUCUCCCUCUUUGUUCACUGGCCUGGCCUCCCUGUGGAAAGGGCUAUUUUUAGCCCUCGCUUUUUUUGGUUAAUGGGCUUUUCGCGGCUUCUCCCUUUGAAGGGGCUAUUUCAGGAGCAGACAUCAGUCUGCAUUUGGACUCCUUGGCUCGAGGUGCAGGAAAAGGUGAUGGGGAUGAGCUACUCCAGGGGCAUCUGCAUCCCUGGACUGUGCCAGGCCCCUCCCUUGCCCAUGUUGGGUUCUGGGGCCAGGGAGGGACACAUGACACCACCCUGCCAGAGCCUGUGGGAGGCGUCGGCAGAGGUGAACCACAGACUUGGAUUUAGGGUCCUGGGGUUUGGGCGAGCAGGAAUGUCCUCGCUUCUGGGACCUGGAACUGGAGUAGGAAUGUCCAUGUUUUGACCUCAGGGAGCCACUGAAAUGGGCACUUGUUACAGGUUGGAAUUGAACAGUGGCUGAAUAGUUUUCUCCAUUUUGUAGCAAAAGCCAUCAGCGUCCACUGUCCCACCCACUCAUCUGGGCUUGGGUGAUUCGGGCAUUUGGGGUGAGCUCUUUUGUCAGUUCUUAACUCAUUCGUCAGAAGGACCCAGGGGUUAGCCAGGCCCAGCCAUCUCCCUGGCCCUCUGCACUUCGAGGAAGCUCAGGCUGGCACGGAGGAGCCAGUGCGAAGUCAGCAGCAAGGCGGGGCUGUGCUGGCCAAGGAAGCGGAGUUGGGCAGCGAGAGCACUCGAUGUGCUGGUCAGAGGUCUAGGAUUCGAGCUUUGGUUAUGUCAUGGUCAAGGUUGUGUGACCUCAUCUGGAAGGAGUAGUGGUGCAUACACCCCUGUCCACCCCCCGCCCAACAGGGGGUCUGGAAGAGCUUUGCCUCAGGCCCUCCCACCACUGCCUUCACUGCAGCUGGCUCCUUCCUGCAGCCCUCUCGGGAACUGCCCUGUGAGGCCCUUUGACACAGGGAAUGUGGACCCUAUGGGCUGACAUGGACAAGGGACCGUGGGCCAUGUUGACACAGAUAAGAGGUGGACUCCAUCGGCUAACCCCAGCGGAAACAGGCCCUCAGUGCGUGACGGCUCCCUCAUGGUGGGUAAUAGCAGAAGGGGGCUUGCAAAUGGGCCUGCGGAGUUAGGGAUGUGACCUCUGGGAUGACUCUGGGCUGGAGCACCCCCAGGCUUGCCGAGCAGCUGCCCAAAGCCCAGGAGCCAGUGCAGCUGAGACGAGAGCUCUGGACAGGAAACUGGAGACCAGAUUCGUGCAGGACCACAGCCGCUUUGUCAACUGUGUGCGAUUCUCUCCUGAUGGGAACAGAUUUGCCACAGCCAGUGCUGACGGCCAGAUAUACAUCUAUGACGGGAAGACUGGGGAGAAGGUGUGCGCGCUGGGCGGAAGCAAGGCCCACGACGGUGGGAUUUACGCCUUGGAGUCCCGACAGCACCCAUUUGCUUUCUGCUUCUGGGGACAAAACUUCCAAGAUUUGGGACGUCAACGUGAACUCCGUGGUCAGCACAUUUCCCAUGGGCUCCACGGUUCUGGACCAGCAGCUGGGCUGCCUAUGGCAGAAGGACCACCUGCUCAGUGUCUCCCUUUCCGGGUACAUCAACUAUCUGGACAGAAACAACCCCAGCAAGCCCCUGCGCGUUGUCAAGGGUCACAGUAAGUCGAUCCAGUGUCUGGCGGUGCAUAAAAACGGCGGCAAGUCCCACAUUUACUCUGGGAGCCACGACGGGCACAUUAAUUACUGGGAUUCAGAGACAGGGGAGAAUGACUCCUUCGCUGGGAAAGGCCACACGAACCAGGUGUCCAGGAUGACCGUGGACGAGUCGGGGCAGCUCAUCAGCUGCAGCAUGGACGACACCGUGCGGUACACCAGCCUCAUGCUGCGGGACUACAGCGGACAAGGAGUUGUGAAACUGGACAUUCAGCCAAAGUGCGUAGCUGUCGGCCCCGGGGGAUACGCUGUGGUCGUGUGCAUUGGACAGAUUGUCCUGCUGAAGGAUCAGAGGAAGUGCUUCAGCAUCGACAACCCCGGCUACGAGCCUGAAGUUGUGGCAGUGCACCCCGGCGGGGACACGGUGGCGGUUGGGGGUGCGGAUGGCAACGUCCGCCUGUACUCCAUCCUGGGCACCACACUGAAGGAUGAGGGCAAGCUCCUAGAGGCCAAGGGCCCCGUGACCGACGUGGCCUACUCCCACGACGGCGCCUUCCUUGCAGUGUGCGACGCCAGCAAGGUGGUCACAGUGUUCAGCGUCGCUGACGGCUACUCGGAGAACAAUGUUUUUUAUGGACACCAUGCAAAAAUCGUCUGCCUGGCCUGGUCCCCAGACAAUGAACACUUUGCCUCCGGUGGCAUGGACAUGAUGGUGUAUGUUUGGACCCUGAGUGACCCGGAAACCAGAGUCAAGAUCCAAGACAGGUGGCCAGGAAGAGGUGUGGGUCUCCUUCCCUCCAGCAAACACCAGCUGCGCUGCUGGCCGUACUGAGGGACCACGGGGGCCCCAUGCACAGGACACCUGCUGAGCUGAGUGAAGGCCUCACUUUUGACAUCUUCACUUCCCCCACCCACCCCUUAAAUCCCACCUGGGACCAGGGUCUCCCCCUCCCUAAGACAGCCACGUCCGGGGUAUAAUGUGAGCCUCAUGUGGAGUUGAAAUUUCCUGGUAGCCACAUUGAAAAAGGAAACAGGUGAAAUGAUUUGUAACAGUAGAUUUUAUUUAGCCCCGCAUGUCAUCAUUUCUCCCUGUGGGGGUUGUGAUGUCCCCGCAUGGCCAUGCACGUAUGGUGAGGCAGCUCUGUGUUGUCCAAACCCUCCCCUCCCCGAGUGCCCCCCUACCGCUUUCCUCCUAGUGUGUGGUCAAGUCCCCUCAUCCAUUCUCCUUGAAGACAUCCUUUUGUGUUAAACAUUAAUGGGGCCCUUUCCUAUUUAAAAAUGUCUGAGCUCACCCCCAGAGCCCAUUCCCCAGCUGCAGGCUUCAGGUGCGGGACAGGCAGAGAGGGAAGGCAGCCCGGUCUGGAAGGGAGGAGACACAAAGCAGGUUUCAACGUCCGUCCUGGUUUAUAAGACAAUCGCCAGUCUGGUAGUGAGAAUCAAACAAGUUCAUGAAUGAAAUGGAUCCAGAAAAAAAUACAGCAAGAGCUAGUCGGAUAGAGAUUAGGAGGUCGGGGUCUGUGUCUUCACUGUGAGGUCACAGGCCACCAAACAUGAAGUGACCUCAGCGUCGGGUUCUCUCGUACAGAUAGUUGAGUUCUGCAUCUGGAAAAGAGCCAGCCUGGUGAUGUGGACAGAGUGCUAAAGCCUGGCCUCACAGCCAAGUCAUGCUUGGUGGUUGAAGGCGCUCCCGGGCACCUGUGCCACCCGCAGGCCAGGGCUUCCUGCAUCAGGGUGUAUGCCGUGCCAGGCAGGGGUGGGGGCUGAAUCUCACCCUGUCUAGGUGGGGCUGCAGACCUAGAGGCUGGGGACCUGGGGAGCAGAGAGCUGGUGGGAACCCCCUUGCCUGCAGCUGGGAGCCUCCCUGGGCUUCAUGGCAGAGCCAGCCACAGGGGAGCCAUAAGCGCACGGGCACUGUCUCACUGUUGGCAUCUCGGGUGGGUGGAGGCAAGAUUAUGGGGAAUCGAAUCUGUUCACCCACAGUGUGACUGUCACAGAGGGGAAAGUCAGUGGCCCCCCCAGUCCUGUGUUUUCCAGCCUCUUACUGGUUGUCAUGCCUGCCCCAUUUUAAUAGGGCAUGGAUACAGUGUAGCUGUUUGUGUGUUGUCUGCAUGUCAUCACUUUUAUACAUAAGAAGACAUUGUUAUUUCACUCCCUUGGAACUUGGUUGUCAAGACUUGGAGAGAAGGAGCCACUGGCAUCUGUAGGUGGAGCCAGGGAUGCUGCUAAUUACCCUGCAGCACACAAAAAAGAGAUGCACACCGGCUGCACCAUGUCAGCAGCCUGGCCUGGCUGGACGAGCACACGCUGGUCACAACCUCCCAUGACGCCUCUGUCAAGGAGUGGACAAUCACCUACUGAGGAGCCCCACCCCCGCCUCGGGAUGGACCGAAUCAGGGACUAGAGUUUAACUGCAGCGGAACAUGUCAUUUCUCUAUUUCUGUGACGCGCCCCCAUGCCCCCGCCCCACCGCAAGAGGCAGGAGGGCCCCGUCAUGACCCUCGUCUCUGCAGGGUGUCUGUACACGUUCUUCUGAAAGCUUUAGACAGGAACAGUUUGCACAUGAAAAAUAAAGCGAGCACCUAAACAA
rnacentral:sRNA from 1 species